rnacentral:ncRNA from 1 species
GAUUCCUGCCCAGCAUUCAGAAUGUCGAAAGUGAAGAACUCGAUGAAGUGAGGUAAACAGCAGCAGUAACUAUCACUCUCUUAGGGCAGCCAAAUGCCUCCUCAUUUAAUUAGUGCUGUGCAGGAAUGGGU